CUUUGUGGCCAUAACUGCCUGUCAGAGCCCAGAAUGUCAGAUCUCAGACGCUAAGCAAGGUUGAGUUUCGUUAGUACUUGGAUGGGAGACUGCUGGAAAUACCAGGUGCCCAAGU
rnacentral:rRNA from 1 species